CCCUGCCGCACGUACAGAGAGGGGCCAGCGGCCACCGAGGCGGCUGCCGGGACCAGCGCCGGCGUCGGAGAGCCCCGCGCCGCGCUCCAGGGAAGACAAGCAUGCAUGGCAGGAAGGCUGGAGGCACCUCCACAGGCAGAGCUGAUCUGCAGAAGGUGAAUGACAGCAAAGCAGCAGCUCCUGGUGGGCACAGAGAGGAUUUACCCACCUCCAGCACGAUGUGAUAGCCAGGAAUCCCUGGAAAGCUCAUUUUCUGCUAAAAAGGGGGAAGAAAGAAGAUAUUAGAAAAGUAAAAUGACUGUAAGAGUUGCCUUCAAAACUCCAACAGCAGAUUGAAAUGUAAUCUCCAACUACUUCUUCACCUCCACAGCUCAGCUCAAAUUCCUCCCAACUGUUUCCUUUACAUCAAAGACACAGAAACUUGAAAAAAAAAAAAUCAAAGCAGCAAACAAAUCAUGAAGGAAAAAGGGAUUCUUAAGCAGUGAGUGAGCCAGGCCUCCAUUUGCCUGAGGAGAGCCCUUGCAGUUGCUUACUAAAAGGUGGGGUCACAUGGGAAGGCUCUUGGCUAAAUCCUCUGCCCCAAAACCCACAUCUAGGCUCAGGUAAGCCUGGUUUAAAGCCUCACUUCCAAACCAGGCUACUUGCACUGAAAGACAGCUGGGGGCACAGAGAAAAUCUGGAGUCAUUGCCAGGGGCUGGGAAAGGGGUCAGGCACCUUGCCAGGGCUUCCCAGGGGCUGAACCUCAGCCACAGUUACCCAGCCCCAACUAAAACCCCGAUUUCUGAUGGGAAAUAAGAGUUUUCAUUAACAGAAUCCAGGCUGGGAGGAUGUCACUAUGUCACAGGUUGGAAUCAUCUGCUCAAUACGAGAUCACAGCAUCAGUCAAGAAUAAAUAUUUGCAUCCUCGUCUCAGAUUUAUUGGCACUGGAGGCUGAUGUGAGUGCACGAGGACCCACAACCACCCAACACAGGAUCACAGAAUCACAGAAUGGUUUGGAUUAGAAGGGACCUUAAAGAUCAUCUGUUUCUAGCCCCCUGCCACAGGCAGGGACACAUUCCACUCUCCCAGGUUGCUCCAAGCUCCAUCCAGCCUGGCCUGGAACGCUUCUAGAGAUGAAGAAUCCACAACCUGUUUGGGCACCCUAUGCCUCACCACUCCCACAGUCUGAAUUUCUCCUAAUAUCUAAUCUCACCCUGCCCUCCUCCAGUGUUAGAGCCAUUCCCCUUUGUCCUGUCACUCCAUGCCCUUGCCCAAAGUCCCUCACCAGCUCUCUUGCCAGGCCCUGGAAGAUGCAAUAAGUUCUCCCCAAAACCUACUGUCUCUCAGGCAGAGAAACCCCAGCCCUCUCAGCCUGUCAAUAUGGGGCCCAGGAGGUUUUUCUCCAUAUGGCUGAGUGGGAAGCAGCCCUCAGAAUGAGAGGGUAAUUCACUGCCCAGCCCUCAGUAACAAACACUGAACACACUCCUGACAUGGGGCUGAGGGAUCUGGCAGGGAGCAGAGCACUCCUGGGGAGUUUCCUUUGCAUUAAGUGCUUUUGACACUAAUGUUGGUGCCUAAGCAAACACAUUAGGAUGACUAAAAACACCCGGGCUGCUAGGAAUCACAGGGCUGCUAGGAAUCACAGAGCACACACUGGGAAUGCAUUGGCUGAGAGCAGAGCAAUGUGCUUCUGUUUUUAAGGCAUGGGUGUGUUGGGUUCUGUGAGGUGCCUGUGGGUGAGACAACUGCACUUCCUCACAGCACCCCUCUGCUAUUUAUGAAGCAGACCUAAAUAGUCUGCAUUAAAAAGUCACAUUUGUGGAUUAUGCUCAUGUGGAGUGUAAUUGGAUUUGAUUGUGCUCUUUGCAGAUACAGGAACUAAACCCACAGCCUGCACUCAGUAGAAUUAGUGUUGCAAGGAUGGCUUAAAGGGGAAGAAAUUCAGCUUCACUGCCUGUAUUUCCCAGUGCUGCCACACAGCACUAAAGGUUUUGUUGCUCAGAUCUGCAGCCCAGAUAUUCCUGUUUGGAAGAACCUGAGAUUCCAGGGAUUAUAAAGGAUGCGUGGGAGUACUAGGCAGAUCUCCAUGCUGAAGAUGAAAAAGACUCUCAUAGAAAUACUUAAUGGCCUUUGAAGCAAGAAUAAAGCAGGCAGGAUAUUUUUAGCAGCCUGCCUGCACUUGCCAACACCUGCAUCUGCUGAUGGCAGAGGCUCCCCAGGGCUGGCACUCAGCUCCUCUCUGCCACUCCACUCUGGAGAGCAAUGCAAGAAAAGUGGGAAAAAACCACACAAGCUUGGCUGAAAGAGUCAGUGUCCCCUACUAAAGGACCCCUGAAAAAUCACCUCUGAAAUAUGUCAGGGAUGAUGGUUCCCCUUCUACCAACCUGUUUGUACUUCAAAGAUGCCACCCUGGAGCACUGAAGGUUGCAUGGUGGGAAUAUCCCUUAGGACAUGAGAAGGACCAAGAUGGGACUUACCCAUCAAGACUUCACAAGCUCCUUCCUUUGCCCACCUCUUCUCUUGGUUAAGGACAUGGUAUUUCCAACUGGAUCCUCUGUUUUGGACUUUCUGGAAAGCCAGAUGGUGGCUGUUGCCCCAAGACACCAGCACUACCCAGCUAUGGAAAUGCUGAAGUGAUGUGAGUUAAAAUGUCUUUGGAACUCACACUUCAAAGCAUCAUAAAAAUACAGAGUGGUUCAGUGUUUUGCAUGUUUGCCUACCACUCCAAAGAACAGUUAGGAGCAGGUUGAUAAGUGGGGCUUUGUAAUUAUCCUGUGUGUUUUUCCUCUCACCCCAUCUGCCAUGAGUUUCCUUAGGAACAGGCACACACACUGGAGUGAAGCAUUUUCCCAUGAAAAACUACCAACACCAGAUUGUGUAUGGUCUGAGGAAAUUACUUGUUUUCACUUGUUUGGUUGUUUGACAUUAAAAAUUUGUAGUGUCUGAAUUUUCCAGUAAGAGAAACUUAAUCUUAUUGUACAAGGAAUUCUCCCAAGCCAGUAAUAACAUUUCUGAAGGAACCAGUCAUGGAAAACAUGUUUCUCAGCACUGUUCUCAGGACAAGAAAUUAAGAAAUUUCUUAGGUAAAUCUAAAGCUAAAAAAAAAAAAAAAAA